rnacentral:Y_RNA from 2 species
GGCUGGUCCAAGUGCAGUAGCAUUUGCAACUAAUUGAUCACAACCAGUUACAGUUUUCUUUGUUCCUUUUCCAGUUCCAUUGCUGGAGAAAAUUUAACUAACCUAAA